GCAUACACAAUUUUUAACAAGAUAUGAAUCCUCGUCGCCCGUUAAACUUUCGAAGUUCCAGCUGAAGAGGAAUACAAGAACAAAUGAAGACGAAGUCCAUAUCAACAAAAGAUCAAAGGUGGACGACACAGAGGAAUCCGAUGUGUCUUUCGACAUAAAAGUUUUGCGGCCAACAGAGAAAUGUAAACCUGGCAUCACUACUGUGUGUGAUGUAUUGCAAGAAGAUACCAAUUCGGUUGUGAAUGUUUGUGGUCGUAUUACCCUGCAAGGUCCAAUACAAACCAUUAUGUCUAAGGGCAAGGCACUACGGAAACAAGAGGCAGUAUUGACGGAUAAUUCAGCAACUAUCCGCCUUGUGCUGUGGGAAAAUGAUAUAUCCAAAGUUUCGUCAGAAUCCACAUAUGAUAUAUCGAAAGUGGUGCUUAAGGAAUACGAGAAGGCAAAGUAUCUUACCUUAAAUAAGUCAUCUACCAUCAAGAUAUCGCAAAAGUCAAUAAGCAGGCUAGAUACCCCAUCAACAGAAGUGUUAUCGAACACACAAUGUGUUACGUUAUAAUUCAGCAACUAUCCGCCUUGUGCUGUGGGAAAAUGAUAUAUCCAAAGUUUCGUCAGAAUCCACAUAUGAUAUAUCGAAAGUGGUGCUUAAGGAAUACGAGAAGGCAAAGUAUCUUACCUUAAAUAAGUCAUCUACCAUCAAGAUAUCGCAAAAGUCAAUAAGCAGGCUAGAUACCCCAUCAACAGAAGUGUUAUCGAACACACAAUGUGUUACGUUCCCGGCGAACGGAGUUUUAUCUUUGCAACGAUUUUCAUCUUGUCUAAGAUGUCAAUCAAAAUUGGUACCAAAUGCCUCCAAAAAAACUGUAAAGUGCACCGAAUGUGGUCUGGGACAACUUCAAGCUAGCUGUCAACAGCGUUUGUUGGCAAAUGUUUUAUUUCAGAAGGGAGCAAGUUCAAACAGUUUGCUGCUGUUUGAUGACAAACUAAAACAAUUAUUCAAAAUCUACCAAGAGCAGACUAAUAACACGCAAACUUUUGAAAGUCUAGAUGAUGAAUUGAUGAUGAUAUGAUGGAAUUUUUGUUAACCGUGGCUGCGAAAGUGUUCUAUAAUGGAAAAAAGAAUGUGGUUGCUAUUCAGAAAAUUUAACAUUGAAAUUGAACUUGUAGUCGCAUAUAUAUAUAUAUAUAUUGUAUACUUUACGUUAUAUGCAUAUUCUAUUGCCAGUGCUGGGACAGUGGACACUUAAUUCCUAUCGCACUUCUAUUUAAAGUUCAUUACUGUUUUGUUGCCUGUUAAGGUGUUUUGUUGGGUUAAAUAGAUAAAAAUGAAAGACUGUACAUGUGUCUCUAAUAUUUUUUGUUUGUCCACACUUAGCUUUGAUAGUUUGUAGAGUGGCCCUGUCUGGGCCAACAUUUUAUAUUGGGAAGUGGGAUAGGAGUGCGCAACCAAAAGAAACAAAUUGUCACCUGUCUUGCAAUUAUUUAGAAGCAUUCUAACAAUUACCUCACCCACCCACUAACGGUCCUUGACUUGCUAGAGAAUUUUCAGUCCAUAUAUUUUUCUAACGUAAUCUAUUUCAUAGCUAAAAUGGCUCCCGCAGCAUUCCCUACCUUGCA